rnacentral:lncRNA from 1 species
AUUCAGUGAUCAGCCUAAACAACUCGAAUGUCAAUAUGCUAAAUCCCAUCGCAUGAACACACAAGUGAUAACAGCAAAGAUAACUAAAAAUACAGCAAGGAGCAAAUCAGAACCUCGAUUCUCAAGUGUUUCUUUCACACCAGCAAUCUCACUCUGAAUGUACCCGAUGAACUCCUCGAUCUCGGCAACAGUCUUCUCGACUAAGGUCAUGCGAUCCUCCAAAGCGUAGAGCCGAUUCUCAUAGGACUGAAGCAGGGUUGUUCUGUUGUCACUAAACAUCCUUGAACUCUGCUUGUCAAUGCGAAUUUGGAGAAUGGUCAGCUGCUCUUCAAUGGCUU